CGCAGGGCCGGAGCCUGCGCCUGCGCCUGCGCCGGGUUUGUCCGGUACGGCUGUGCCGCUCGGUGUGCACCGCUCCUCGGGACAGCGUGUGCCGGGGCCCUCCUCGGGAAAUAUUUCUUCCUUCUAUGGAAACCAACGAGCACCCGGGCCUGCACUCUUGAUAUAAAUACCCGGUGAUGACCGACUUAUUGCGGGCGACCGGGCGACGAAUCCACCGUUGGGACAGCACUGCCGGUGUCAGGCCGUUCUUCCUAGAAAGAAAGAAAGAAAAAAAAUCUAAAAUCUUUAAGAUAUGUGUGGGAUCUGUUGAGUCACAGCCUGAACCACGGAUUGAUCACCUGUGGAAAGGACCCAGUCAGCCCUGAGAGCACAGGUGAAAGCAAUUCAUGUGUGCGAAUGGAAGGAGGGGAGCCUGGCUGCAGCUCUCUUAGAUCUCAUUUAAGGGCUGACUGCUGCUGGGGAGGAUCUUUGCCUGGUGGAUUUGCCACAAGGUUUCUUACAAUGACUAACAGUAGAAGGAAAUGUGCUCUGAAGGGGUGUGCUUGCAAGUCGGCUCAAGAGAAAUGAAAAUCGUUGUAGCGGGGACCCUGCCUGGGAGCAGAGCAUUACCAAAUACGUUACUAUGCAAAGAAUCUCAUGUUGAAUAAUUUAGAAAUACCUUUUUGUUAGUGGUCAAGUAAAACAUGGCAACAGAGGGUAAUCUCAGGAAAAAGAGGGGAUAAAAACAUCUCUAUCAAGCCCAGACUUGAUGGGAAAGGAAGAGCUGAACAAGUGUGCGUGUCUGGGGGUGUUCAUCUUCUAGACUGCACCCAGAGAAGGAGAAUGAUUGUGAUGCUGCAGUCUCGGAACUCCAGUCAGUACACAAAUGGAAGGAUUUCUGGGCUGAGAUGAAUUUAUCUCCGCAGCUUCUAAUCUUUUGGAUUUUGUGUUCUAGUGCAGAGAAGCUUUUGGGCAUGAUUUAUCAUCACUAUAGCUAACACUGUAUGGGAAAAAAACUGACUUUAGAUCUUACAUCAAAGCUUUUAACAAAGCUUGUUUCCCUGGAUUUUACUUGCUUUCCAUUGUCUCC
rnacentral:lncRNA from 1 species